AGCGACCGCACAACAAGGCCGCUCAUCACCGAUGAUGCGUUUCCGCGGCAGCCACUACCAGCAGCUGCUGGCACAGCUGCCGCGCAAUCUGCUGGUUUUCGAUGGGCAUUGCCUGCUAUGUCAAGCGCGCGUGCGUUACGUUCUGGAGCGCAAUUUCAGUUUCUUUAGUUUCUUCAGCUACGCGAGGAGGAAUGUGGAAGACGAGAUCGCGGAGGGUCUGGACCGCCACCGGAUCUAUUUCGCUUCUCUCGACUCCAAGGAGGGAGCCAAUGUGCGCCGCCUAUUCUUCCAGCGUGCGCCGUCGUCCUCCGCAUCGCGUGCGUCUUGCUCGGCGACGCUGCCACAGAUGGCGCUUCCUGUGCCCGAGGACCUUGUGCUUGUGCUCAUCGAGAAAGUGCCUUCCCAGACAGCCAGCUUCCUCACCGGCGUGCGGCCGGGUGGCCUUGCCGCGGAUGACCGCACACUCUUUGAAAAGACAGCAGCCUCCUACGGUCGUGGUGCAGCUACCUCCGCGUCGACGGUGACGUUUUCCACUGCCAGCUCGCGGCUCGUCAGCGCUGCCGAGACAGACCUCUUUGUCUCCACUAACUACACGGCGAUGUGCCGGGUAGGCAUGCACCUCGAUCGCUUCCUCACUCGCUCCAUCUUCCGCUUCCUCUACUGCGUAGUGCCGACCUCGGUAGGCAACUGGUGGUUUGAGCGAUAUGUGUGUCACCGUCGGAAGACCAUCUGGGGCACCUCAGAGCAGGAUGCGGUGAAGGAGUGUGGCAUUAUCGAGGGAAUGCGGGAGCGUCGGUGGGUGUGGCGAGGGGUUAGCAGCAACUCGCUGCAGCGAUAGGUGUGGCAGGGACGAAGAAAGGCGGGGAGCUCGCCAGUGCGCCGCAGCGGCCAUGCAUGGAUAGGGCGACUCCGUGCGCAGGUCAUCUGCUUGUAGUCCGUCUCACUCUCCCGCCCCGACCCUCUCUCUUUUUCACGCCACCCAUUUCGUCAGAGCGAGGGUGUUUCUUCUCCGCCAUCAUCGCACAAUUUGAUGGCAAGCCCAUUGCAGUGAUCACGGUUAUCGGGACGUCCCAGCGCAUUACAGAGUGCAGCUACACAUACGCAUAAAAGGAAACGGACGGUGGGAAGUCCACGCCUCAUCCCCUCCCGCCACCCCCACCACCAUCUCCUGUGUGGACCCAAACACGAAAGUGUGCAUGGCAUGCUGGUGAGGCAAACUAAAGGAACGCGCCUCACGAUGAGGAACGACUAGGGAACUGCGGAGGAUGCAGCCUUCGUGUCACCGCCACUUCGGUUCUCUCCCCUCCCCGCCCCCUUUUUCUUUCGCGUAUGCAGCCUUGGCGGCCCGCUGCCGUCAGGCUCUGCAUCGUGCACAGACCCUCACCGAUGUGCGGGCAGGCAGUCUCCUCAUUCCCUUCCGUCUUCCGUCCCCCCCCCCCUUCUCUUGUCGCCGGCGCUUUGCCUGACCAG
rnacentral:misc_RNA from 1 species